GACGAACCGAGCGAACGUUGUUCGGAAUCACUGGGCUUAAAGGGCGCGUAGGCGGCUUGGCAAGUGGAUGGUGAAAUCCCUCGGCUUAACCGAGGAACUGCCGUCCAAACUGCUUCGCUUGAGACCGGGAGAGGUGAGUGGAAUUCCCAGUGUAGCGGUGAAAUGCGUAGAUAUUGGGAGGAACACCAGUGGCGAAGGCGGCUCACUGGACCGGUACUGACGCUGAUGCGCGAAAGCGUGGGGAGCAAACGGG
rnacentral:rRNA from 1 species